UACGUAGGGGGCAAGCGUUGUCCGGAUUUAUUGGGCGUAAAGAGCGUGUAGGCGGCCAUACAGGUCCGUUGUGAAAACUCGAGGCUCAACCUCGAGACGUCGAUGGAAACCGUAUGGCUAGAGUCCGGAAGAGGAGAGUGGAAUUCCUGGUGUAGCGGUGAAAUGCGCAGAUAUCAGGAGGAACACCAAUGGCGAAGGCAGCACUCUGGGACGUGACUGACGCUGAGACGCGAAAGCGUGGGGAGCAAACAGG
rnacentral:rRNA from 1 species